CGGGCGCGUGCCCGUAAAUUUGCACCCCGAGACGGUUGCCGUUCGCUUCUUGCAUGGCGCGGGAUUUGGCACCUGCCCGCGCUUCAUGGUCAUCCGUCAAGCGGCUUGCGGGUGCCGCAUGAAGCCGUUCGGGGUGCCUCCCAUGAACUCUGAUGAG
rnacentral:ncRNA from 1 species